GGUAAAUGCUUGUGGAGGUGGCAUUAGAUGCCAAUGACUUUAUUUACCCAGUAGCAUAUGCUAUAGUUGAGAGGGAGAAUGCUACUAUCUGGAGGUGGUUUAUUCAACAUUUGGGCGAAGAUUUGAAGAUGAUGAAUGGUAAUGAAUGGACAUUUAUGAUGGAUAGGCAAAAGGGUUUACAAAAUGUUAUAGAUGAUUUGUAUCCCGAAGCUGUUCACCAAUUUUAUGUUAGACACAUGUACAACAAUUUCUUUAGAACUGAUUUUAAGGGUUUAAUUCUUACGGAAUACUUAUGGAAGGCUGCAAAGUUGACAAUAGUGCCCGAAUGGAUGUUUUGGAUGGGUGAGAUGGAGAAAGAAAGUACUGCAGCGCAUAAUUGGUUAAAGAAAAGGCACCCAAGUGAAUGGAGUAGGGCUUAUUUUCAGACAAAGGUUAAGAGUGACAUUUUUUUAAAUAAUCUAUGCGAAGUCUUCAAUAAUGUUGUAUUAAAAGAAAGGAAAAAAUUUAUAUUGACAAUGUUGAUUGAUUUGCAUAUAAGUUCCAUGAAAAUGAUACAAGCAAUAAGGGACAAGAUGAGAAGAGUAGUAUGGCCUUUGAGUCCUAAAGCUCAAAAGAAACUUAUGUCAAACAUUGAGAUGGUAGAGCUAUAUGAGGUGGAUUGAUCUGGAGGGGCCCAGUCAUAUGUGAAAUGUUCUAGUGGGGAAUAUGCUGUUGAUCUAAUGAACAAAACAUGUACAUGUAGGAUAUGAGAUUUGACUGGGGUUCCUUGUGCUCAUGCAGUUGCUGCCAUUAUAGACUGAAGGGAUGAGCCGUGGAAGUAUAUGCAUGAGUGUUAUAGAGUAAGUACAUAUAUGAACUGUUAUGAGAAUAUUAUAAACCCUAUCAAUGGGAUAAAAUUAUGGCCUCAAGUAGAUGCCCCUCCAAUCAAGCCACCAGAAUGGUUUGUGCUUAAAAAGGGAAGAAAACAGAAGAAGAGAAGAAGACAGGUAGAAGAAGAUGUCAUAACCCGUUCGGGGUCCAAAGUAAAGUUGAACAAGAAGGGUACCAUGAUGAUUACUUGUAGUUUAUUUGGAGGGAUAGGCCACAACAAGAGGUAUCAUCAAAAGGCCAAUGCAACACAUGAGAUCAUACACAUGAAGGAAGCUUAAGGGAUGUGAGGAGUGAAAGAUUAAGGGUAAUUACAACUAUUGCAAUAUCAUGCUUUAAAUGAAUCUGGCCAAAUAAAAUUUUCACUACAUAUAUGAUGUUAUGACACUAUUACAGGUAAAACUCAUGUAUUGGAGGCAAUCGGGGAUGCCUCCAUCUGAAAUGCAACCACCAGAACAAUCAUCUAAUUCCCUUUUCAUGCCAACACCUGGAAUUGGUUUAACUAGUGCUGCGUAAUUUACCAACUAUGGUCCUCUACUAUAAUGAGCCAGCUAGUUCAACAAUAGAGAAAUCUCCGCUUAAAGCCAUAGUGGAAGACUUUCAAGAGAGAGAGAACCAAGAAAAACAAAGGAAGAGGGCAACCAUAGCAAAAAAUAGAAUGAUUGUUCGAGGGUCGGUUCCAUUUGUGCCUCCAAGAAAAAAUUCAGCAACUCAAUAGUAUUU